rnacentral:rRNA from 1 species
GAGGCGAUGAAGGACGUGAUAAGCUGCGAUAAGCUACGAGGAGGUGCACAUAACCUUUGAUUCGUAGAUUUCCGAAUGGGGCAACCCGGCUGGUUGAAGACCAGUCACCUUUUAAAGGAGCGAACCCGGAGAACUGAAACAUCUAAGUACCCGGAGGAAAGGAAAUCAAUAGAUACUCCGCUAGUAGUGGCGAGCGAACGCGGACCAGCCGAGCCUCGAAGAGUGACCGGAACGGCCUGGAAAGGCCGGCCAUAGCGGGUGACAGCCCCGUACGGGAAGCUCCAGGGGACGCAUCAAGUAGGGCGGGACACGUGAAAUCCUGUUUGAAGAUCGGGGGACCACCCCCGAAGGCUAAGUACUCCUUACUGACCGAUAGCGAACCAGUACCGUGAGGGAAAGGUGAAAAGCACCCCGACGAGGGGAGUGAAACAG